rnacentral:ncRNA from 1 species
CUGUCGAAAGGGCUAAACCCGAGUAAUCGGGUGGCGCAAAGUUACGGGUCCGUUCACGGAUACCACCGCGAGGUGGGGUUCGUGGAGGGAUCGCCGGACUGCCAAC